UACGAAGGGUGCAAGCGUUACUCGGAAUUACUGGGCGUAAAGCGUGCGUAGGUGGUUCGUUAAGUCUGUCGUGAAAGCCCCGGGCUCAACCUGGGAAUGGCGAUGGAUACUGGCGGGCUAGAGUGCGGUAGAGGGUGGUGGAAUUCCCGGUGUAGCAGUGAAAUGCGUAGAGAUCGGGAGGAACAUCAGUUGCGAAGGCGGCCACCUGGACCAGCACUGACACUGAGAGACGAAAGCUAGGGGAGCAAAUGGG
rnacentral:rRNA from 1 species